UGAGGAAUUUUGCGCAAUGGGCGAAAGCCUGACGCAGCGACGCCGCGUGGAGGAAGACGGCCUUCGGGUUGUAAACUCCUGUCAGAGGUGAAGAACGCCCGCAAGGGCUUGACGGUAACCUCAGAGGAAGCCCCGGCUAACUACGUGCCAGCAGCCGCGGUAAUACGUAGGGGGCGAGCGUUGCUCGGAAUUACUGGGCGUAAAGGGAGUGCAGGCGGCCGGUUAAGUCGAAGAUGAAAUCCCGAGGCUCAACUUCGGAACGGUCUUCGAUACUGAUCGGCUUGAGGCUAAUUGAGGGGAGCGGAAUUCCAGGGGGAGCGGUGAAAUGCGGAGAUAUCGGGAGGAACAACAG
rnacentral:rRNA from 1 species